rnacentral:lncRNA from 1 species
UGUACAUUGAAUUUGCCAGUUGAACAGUUUCUGGAUUACCUCAAGUCUCUUGGCAGUCGGCUGUAGCAGACUUGCCUUUGAUUGCACCCAUUCUCCACAAGGAAUGACCCAUGGUCAGAACAACAGGAGGUCCCUUUCAGCAACAGGACAUCAAAUGAUAAAGCACUAAUUAGCCAUCCAGAAUUCAGUUUGCUAUAUCUGGAGUUUAAACACUAUGUUGUGAGGAAAAGUUGAGUCCCAAGUCCAGAGUCCCUGAAUCAUCAUCUAGAUACUACAUCUAGGAAAGUAUGAACCAAAUAUUUAAAACUGUAUUCUAUUACCUACCUUUCUUUGCCAGCUUAUGGAAUUAUUGUAAGUGGGAGAUGUCUAGCAGCACCAUGUGGUGGUUAAACUAUAAUUUGUUGAUGCUUCAGACCAAAGACCUUUGCAAGUCUGAUUUCCUAAAAGAAGAGAAGGGAAAGGAGUGGACCUUGAGGAACAUCUACAAUGUAGAGAGGACCUUUCAGAAUGAGAAACCACUGAAUUGGAUUGAAUUUGCUGAACUUCCAUGA